CAGAUAAUAGUUUAUUAAAAUAUUAACUUUGGAAGUUAAAGAAAAGUUAGAUAACUUUUUUCUGA
rnacentral:tRNA from 1 species